GACGAACCGUCCGAACGUUAUUCGGAAUCACUGGGCUUACAGAGUUCGUAGGCGGUCCAGAAAGUUGGGUGUGAAAUCCCUUGGCUUAACCAAGGAACUGCGCUUGAUACUACUGGACUCGAGGGAGAUAGAGGAAAGCGGAACUGAUGGUGGAGCGGUGAAAUGCGUUGAUAUUAUCAGGAACACCGGUGGCGAAGGCGGCUUUCUGGGUCUCUUCUGACGCUGAGGAACGAAAGCUAGGGGAGCGAACGGG
rnacentral:rRNA from 1 species